rnacentral:misc_RNA from 1 species
UCCGGUUUGUCACCGGCAGUCUCCCUAGAGUGCCCUUGCGUAGCAACUAGGGACAAGGGUUGCGCUCGUUGCGGGACUUAACCCAACAUCUCACGACACGAGCUGACGACAGCCAUGCACCACCUGUCAUGGGCCCUUUCGGACACCGUAUCUCUACGGCUUUUCCCAUGAUGUCAAACCCAGGUAAGGUUCUUCGGGUCGCAUCGAAUUAAGCCGCAUGCUCCGCCGCUUGUGCGGGGACCCGUCAAUUCCUUUGAGUUUUAGCCUUGCGGCCGUACUCCCCAGGCGGGGCACUUAAUGCGUUAGCUUCGGCACGGCAACCGUUGAUCGGGGACAACUCGGAGGAAGGUGGGAUGACGUGUCCUUGAUAGG